AUAGCAAUAGGUUGGGUGACCUGAAACAAAGAAGGAGAUCCUGCCAUUUGUGAUGGCGUAGAUUGUUCUGGAAGACAUUAUGCCAGGCCAAGUCAACUGCCCUCAGGAGGCCCGAUACUCUAUGGUCCCACUCCCAAAUGGAAGCCACAAUGGCCAGGCUCAGGUUUCCAAGAUGGUGGCAGGGGGGAAAUGGGGAGAUUUGGGCCAAAGGUCUCAAAGCUUUAGUUAUGCAAGAAAAAUUAGUCCUGGAGCUCUAUGGUGCCUGCAGUUCACAAUUCUGCACCACUUACUUAAAAAUUUGCUGGGCUGGGGUUGUAAAAUAAAGGUAUCUACUAUAAAAUUUUUUUAAAGUUUGCUAAGAACAGGGACCUAAUAUAUUAAGUGCUAUUUUCACCAAAAAUGACAAUAAUAAUAAUAAUAAUAAUAAUAACAACAACAACAACAGGUGUGGGAAGAGACUUUGAGAGGUGUUAGACAUGUUUAUUGCAUGGAUUGAGGUGAUAGUUUCACGGGAGUAUCAUUUUCUCCAAACUCAUCAGGUUGUAGACAUUAAGUAUAUACAGCUUUGGGCAUGUCAAUCAUACCUCAAUCAUGUGGUUUUAAAAAAAUUCUACUUAUUUCAGUCCGAAAGAGAGGUGCCGCAUCCUAGGCAUGACAUGCUCAAUUAAAGUAGAUUGAUGGGUGUACCGAGGGGGUCAUCAAGCACACACACAGAGGCACACAUAAAAGAACUGCCCUCCUGGGAGCUCAGGAGGAAAAAAAGGAAGGUGAGCAGAAUGGAAUUUUCAGAAAAUUUAGAGAGCACAGCACUACAAUGAAACCAUUGAUAACCCACAUUGAAGGGUCCGGGACGGGGGGAUAUUUGAUGGAACGUGAGAGAUGUGAGAAAAGACUAAUAAGACCUCUAUUCUUCCUGCAACCCCAGCCACUGAGGCACCAGGAUGUGACUUUGGAACAUCAGUUUUCAGCAGGCCAACAGGUCAAGACUGUCAGGAAAUACCUGCGGGUCAACCUGAUAGGUACAUGGAGAACUUUCCACCAUCGAGAGCCUGAGACAAUGAACAACUCCAAAGCAUCCUUUGGACACUUGGAGCUGAGCUUUGGAAUCCACACCUCCUAUUCCACAUUCCCAAAAAGGUGCUUUCCCUUGCAGUCACAUAGAUGCUACGUCAUUGAUUGAAUCACUGCUAUUUUGAGGUCCCUAUCUAGGUGCUGUGGGAAACAGGAAAAUGGUGGCCAUCUAUAUGGAAAUUAGGAUGUGAGAAGGGGAAGUUUAGAAACUCUCUGGCUUCUAAAUGAAAUGAAAAUAAAUGGUGAGAAGGAGGUAAAUUGUGAACUAUAUGAAUGACAAAACAUCACCCACUAUGAAAAAAUAAAUAAAAAGCAUUUAACCCCAGUCCUGACCCAUCUGGAACCUUCAAUUAAAGGAAAUCCCUCUUAUUUCUUUUGGGAAAAAAAAAGAAUGGACAAGAAAGAGAAUGAAAGCUGGAUUCAGAAAUUUCGUCAAAAGGGGACAAAUUCAACUUCAUUUCCUGGUCAUUUCAGCUUCCUUGCUUUGAUCUACAUGAGCCAGAGUGUGAGUUCCAUGAGAUCAGGGACAUGAUUUUCUAUGUGCUGCAGCCUUCUCCACGUAGAGCAGAUUUUACAGCCCUCAGCAAGAGUGCAGUAAAUAUCCGCUGAAUAAAUGGUGACCUCAAGUUUCCUCUAAAUAUCUGAUCUUGAAAGCCACAUUUCAGUUGCAACAAUCACUGGCCAAGGCAAGAAAGAUUUGUAAAAAUGAGGUGUGGGAGACCAAAGGUGGGCACAAAUUCUUUGCUCCUCCUCUCGUUAAGAAAUGCAACCUAAUUCCUUUCCUGGGAAUCUGAACGGAUUUUAGUGUCUCGCUCGGCCAAUAUAAUAUGACAGAAGGGACAUUGCCAGGGUUCUGAGGCUAAGUGAUAAGAGACUGAUUGAGUGCCUCCUGGGCCUCUGGAACAUUCUUUCCGUGAGGCCUCAGUUGCUAGAGAAGACGCUCAAGUACACUGGGGUCUCUGCUGGGGGAAGCCAUCUGCAGGCAGCCCAGGGAAGCCAUCUGAGCCAGCCCUCAGCCGGCCAUCAUUGGAGAGGUAACUGAGACCACAGUGACUACCUGGGCCAGGAAGCAGAAAGGUGUCUCUAUAACAAGCCAGGCUGUGAUAGUUGAGGCUUCACGAGCCAUUCCGAUGAAUGAGCUCUGCGGUUCUAACUUGAACGCAGCUGCAGACUAUAUGGAAAUAAAUCAGCUCGGCUGUUUCAAUAAAAGUUUAUUU
rnacentral:lncRNA from 1 species